GAUGAACGCUGGCGGCGUGCCUAAUACAUGCAAGUCGAGCGAACGGACGAGAAGCUUGCUUCUCUGAUGUUAGCGGCGGACGGGUGAGUAACACGUGGAUAACCUACCUAUAAGACUGGGGUAACUUCGGGAAACCGGAGCUAAUACCGGAUAAUAUUUUGAACCGCAUGGUUCAAAAGUGAAAGACGGUCUUGCUGACACUUAUAGAUGGAUCCGCGCUGCAUUAGCUAGUUGGUAAGGUAACGGCUUACCAAGGCAACGAUGCAUAGCCGACCUGAGAGGGUGAUCGGCCACACUGGAACUGAGACACGGUCCAGACUCCUACGGGAGGCAGCAGUAGGGAAUCUUCCGCAAUGGGCGAAAGCCUGACGGAGCAACGCCGCGUGAGUGAUGAAGGUCUUCGGAUCGUAAAACUCUGUUAUUAGGGAAGAACAUAUGUGUAAGUAACUGUGCACAUCUUGACGGUACCUAAUCAGAAAGCCACGGCUAACUACGUG
rnacentral:rRNA from 1 species